rnacentral:lncRNA from 1 species
UGAGAGAGGGCAUCCUUGUCUUGUACCGGUUUUCAAAGGGAAUGCUUCCAGCUUUCACACAUUCAGUAUGAUAUUGGCUGUGGGGUUAUCAUAAAUAGGUCUUAUUAUUUUGAGAUAUGUUCCAACAACACUUAGUUUAUCGAGAGUUUUUAGCAUGAAGCAGUGCUGAAUUUUAUCAAAGGCCUUUUCUGCAUCUGUUGAGAUAACCAUGUGGUUUUUGUCAUUGGUUCUAUUUAUGUGAUGGAUUACGUUUAUUGAUUUGUGUAUAUUAAACCAGCCUUGCAUACCAGGGAUGAAUCCAACUUGAUCAUGGUGGAUAAAGUUUUUGAUGUUCUGUUGGAUUCAGUUUGCCAGAAUUUUAUUGAAGAUUUUCACAUUGAUGCUCAUCAGGGACAUCGGCCUGAAAUUUUCUUUUUUGGUUGUGUCUCUGACAGGUUUUGGUAUCAGGAUGAUGCUGGCCUCAUAAAAUGAGUUAGGGAGGAGUCCUCUUUUUCUACUGUUUGGAAUAGUUUCAGAAGGAAUGGUACCCCCUCCUCUUUGUACUUCUGCUACGAAUUUGGAUGUGAAUCUGCCUGGUCCUGGACAUUUUUGAUUGGUAGGCUAUUUAUUACUGCCUCAGUUUCAGAACUUGUUAUUGGUCUAUUCAGGGAUUCGACUUCUUCCUUGUUUAGUCUUGGGAGGGUGUAUGUGUCCAGGAAUUCAUCCAUUUCUUCUAGAUUUUCUAGUUUAUUUGCAUAGAGGUGUUUAUAGUAUUCUCUGAUGGUAGUUUGUAUUUCUGUGGGAUCAGUGGUGAUAUCCCCUUUAUCAUUUUUUAUUGUGUCUAUUUGAUUCUUCUCUCUUUUCUUCCUUAUUUGUCUGGCUAGCAGUCUAUCUAUUUUGGUAAUCUUUUCACAACUCAGCUCCUGGAUUCACUGAAGAGAGACGGGGCCAAUAUUCAACAUUCUUAAAUAAUUUUCAACCCAGAAUUUCAUAUCCAGCCAAACUAAGCUUCAAAAGUGAAGGAGAAAUAAAAUCCUUUACAGGCAAGCAAAUGCUGAGAGAUUCUGUCACCACCAGGCUUACCUUACAAGAGCUCCUGAAGGAAGCACUAAACAUGGAAAGGAACAACUGGUACCAGCAACUACAAAAACAUACCAAAUUGUUACAACCAUCAACACUAUGAAGAAACUGCAUCAACUAAUGGGCAAAAUAAUCAGCCAACAUCCAAAUAACAGGAUAUAAUUCAAACAUAACAAUAUUAACCUUAAAUGUAAAUGGGCUAAAUGCCCCAAUUAAAAGACACAGACUGGCAAAUUGGAUAAAGAGUUAAGACCCAUCGGUGUGCUGUAUUCAGGAGACCCAUCUCACAUGCAAAGGUGCACAUGGCUCAAAAUAAAGGGAUGGAGGAAUAUUUACCAAGCAAAUGGAAAGCAAAAAAAAAAAAAAAAAAAAAAAAA